GUUCAGGGCUUUCAGUUUCAUAUUUCAGGAGGGAUUUUGUCAAUGAGGAUUAAUACAAAGCUCGGCUUUGAGAGAGGUUUGAGUUUCCUGCCUGAUGAUCAGAGCCAGAAGCACAGGUCUCCAGGAAAUGCCACCACUGGAUAGAGAGCCACACGCUGCUUCCUAUCAUACGUCUACCUGGACCUAACUCAGGAAGAAACAUACACUUCCUACAUUUUAUCCCAUAAGCAAAGCAACUUCUGUAGAACUGCCCAUGGAGAUUUUGUCUUAACUUCAAAAAGUGCUUCUCCUAAUUUAUUUUCUGUUGCACGGUAUCAAGAAGCACCUGUGGAAAAAAAGGAUUCAAAAGAAGAAAACCAUAACCAUCUUACAAGUUUUUGCAUUGCUGAAGACUGACGACUUCACCCAGACCCACCAACUGGUCCUGGGACCCCCACCCAGGAACCCAUUCAGUGCAGGAGGACAGCUUCAGCUCCCUGUGUCUUCACGUGUGACCCAAUUGAUCAGCACUUCCCUCUUCCUGGCCCCCUACUGACCAAACUAUCCUUUAAAAACCCUAGUCACUGAGUUUCCAGGGAGACUAAUUUGACUAAUAAUAAAACUGGUCUCCCAUUCA
rnacentral:lncRNA from 1 species